rnacentral:tRNA from 1 species
GCCGAAGUGGUGGAAUUGGUAGACACGCUAUCUUGAGGGGGUAGUGGGAACACCCGUGCCGGUUCAAAUCCGGCCUUCGGCACCA